rfam:Aedes aegypti strain Liverpool supercont1.557 genomic scaffold, whole genome shotgun sequence.
CCUCUCGUGGCGUAGGAGUAACGUGCCCUGUCUAGAGAACAGGGAAUCGUGAGUUCGAUUCUCACCGAGAAGA